CAGCAGCCGCGGUAAUACGUAGGUGGCAAGCGUUGUCCGGAAUUAUUGGGCGUAAAGGGCUCGCAGGCGGUUUCUUAAGUCUGAUGUGAAAGCCCCCGGCUCAACCGGGGAGGGUCAUUGGAAACUGGGAAACUUGAGUGCAGAAGAGGAGAGUGGAAUUCCACGUGUAGCGGUGAAAUGCGUAGAGAUGUGGAGGAACAUCAGUGGCGAAGGCGACUCUCUGGUCUGUAACUGACGCUGAGGAGCGAAAGCGUGGGGAGCGAACAGGAUUAGAUACCCCCGUAGUCCCUGUCUCUUAUAC
rnacentral:rRNA from 1 species